GUUAUUUUAAAAACUUUAAGGUCUUUGAAAAGGAGCUGUUUCUCAGCCAGCAAAACAGAAGGCACUGCUCUUUUUAAGGCACACUAAAAGCUUCCUUUGGGCUGGAUUUUUUCCAAAACCAAAACACUUCCCAAGGGAGCAAAAACCAGAAAAUUACUGGGUUACUUGGACAAAUUCUCUCUCUCUCUCUCUCAAAAACAAAACAAAAACACUUGCAAAGGUAUCUGGACUGUGAGAGUCUUGCAAAAAUCAAACCUAACAUGCUUAGUUCUACAUACAUGAAUAAACCCAUUGAACUCAAUGGACCUGCUCACUUACAAAAAGCCAAGCAGACUGGCUCCUUGCAGGGCUGGGACUUUGAAGGCUCCUCUUUUCCCAAACUUCUGACACUGAAGGGCAUAGUUCAAUUAUUGAAGGCUUUUUCCAAUAGACACCAAUGUUAACAUUAGGGAUCAGCCUGCAUUUCCACUGAAACACCUCAUUUUCAGGGAUUUAUACCCUUAUACACAAUGUUCAAUGUAGCUUUACUAAAAGCAGCAGGCAUAUUUACAUGUUUAAGCAAGUGACAAAUAAAUACAAAAGACAGAGGAAUUCUGGUUUGGGGUGCAACUGUUACUGCUCUUCAACAUAAAGCACAGCUUUUAAUUUGAAUAUUAUGGAAGACAGUCAUCCAAAGCAUGAUCGACCACUUCAGACUUUUCAGGAAUACUUUUAAGUGAUGAUGGUGUACAAAGGAAAUAAAGAUGGCGCACGCACGCACAAGGCACCUACACACUCUUUCAUAGAAAAUGGAUCUUAAAAAAAUAGGGUUGGAAAGGACAUCAGGAGGUCAUCUAGUGCAAUCCCCAUGGAAUAAAUAAAUAAGAUCACUCAGUGGGCAGUAACAGAUCUGCUCCAUCUCAAGCGGAGUACAGAAAACAUGUGGUCCCCAUACAAACCCGGAGUAUAACUUUAUUACACGGGUAGACAGAACGCUCAAUUUUCAAACUUGUUUGAGAUUUAAAGUGGGUUGAACAAAUUGCUGCCAUUUGUGCCGGUGAACUGGUUAAGUAUCAUUUUGCUGUAGCCCUCCAAACUUACUAUGCAUUUUUCUGAUGUUUGGUUUUCACCAACCGAUUUUUUUCUAUCUUCUUGUACUCCUAGGUCAGAAAAUACUUGGAGUUUGAUUGUAUGGGAUAAAGCAACAGCAAAAUAAGUUCCUGGGCAAUGAAAUAAGGCAGAAGUGAUGAAUUUGGAAGGCAAGGUGGAUAAUCAGUUGACAAGGAGCUCUCAAAGACACGCUGGGCAAAAGGUGCUAAUGUGAUUCUUGGCUGUAGAAACAGGGGACUAUUGAGUAGGAGAGCUAUUAUCUCUGUAGUUGGCACUAGUGUGAACAUUCCUCCACAUGAUGUGCAAUACUGCUGUCCAUGCUUCAAGGAAGAUGCUGAAAAUUAAGAAGAUGCCAAGAAAACCCACAAGGAAUGAUUAAAAGACCAGAAAACACACUAUUUAGUGAAGGACUGAAGGAGCUAAAUCUGUCUAGUUUAUCAAAGGUUGAGCAUUGACUGAUGUAAGUACCUAGCAAGGAACUGGAAAACAUUAUCUGAAGAAAGCACUGCAAUCUAGCGGACAAAAAGUUAACUAGAACCACUGGCUGCAAGUUGAAGCUGGACAAAUGUAGACUACAAAUAAAACACAAGCUUUUAAAUGAUGUAGGUAUCAACCACUGGAACAAUUUACCAAUGGGUGUGGUAGAUCCUGGGUUACUGGGAAUUUUAAAAUCCAGAUAGGCUGUUUUUCUAAAAAAUCAAGUAUAGCUAUUGAAUUUGCAGCAAGAAUUUAUACACGGAAGUCCAGAAGCCUGUGUUAAAUGGGACAUCAGAGUAGAUAAUUACCAAGGUUACUCCUGGUUUUACAAUCUACAAACCUACAAAGUGGGGACAAGCUCAAUGACAUAACAGACAGAUGCUAAGAGUGAUUUAAGGGAAGAAGAAAGCCAGGGUUCAAUUCAAGUUAUACAGCCUUACUUUGAGCAUUCAGCAAAUGUAUUCACAUAAUAGGAGGUAAUUUUGCCUUAAGACCCCCUCAACAAGCUGAAGUAAUGUUGGGUUAAAACAAUAAUUAAAUGGUAAAUUAUUUUGCACAAUUUAACGUAAAUGUACCCAUUUUCAAAAGUGUAUGAAGUUUGUGUGCACAUGAAGUUGCCACCGCUGUUCAUGGAAAAAUUGAUCAUCUGCAACUGAAUCAAUCAACUAAUACAAAGCUGGCUUCCUGACACCAGUCUACCUAGAUCAUGCUACUGCUCAUCAUAAAUAUCAUUUUAACAAAUAAUCAUGCAUACACACGUAAAAGGAAGGUCCAAGGAGCUUAUUAAAUCCCAAACCACCAAGGCGGCAAAGGCUUGCCACAAAACAAUCCCAGUACAUGCAGGUUCUCCCAACCUGUGUUGAUCUUUGGUAAGAAGCCAGCACAGUCCAUCAACACGAUGAAAAGGGUAUGGAGAUAUCCUGGGCUUGGGACCUCCAUGUUGCAAAGACCAUUAUCUUCUGAAAACCUCUGGUUAGCCGUUUACCUCUUCUGGGAGAUCCCAACUAAUGGAAAACACUGCCUUGGGAACAAGAAAUCUGCACUUUAGAUGCAGAUGUUCAGAAUUUGGGCCGUUGAGCUCCCAUUGUCAGAUAAGGACUUGUUGCCACCUAGUGGAUUAUCACUGCCAAAGGCACAUGUUUGGGCAUCAGAUGCACUAAUUACCACUAGAUGGAGUCUUUAAAAAACAAACCACUGCUUCUUGUGCAGGGAGACGGAUUUUGAGAGUCCCAAAGCCAAGGUUUCAAGCAGCCUAAAGCUCCUACACUGAAGUAGUAUCAUUUGUUUGGCAAUCUCAGAUCAAAAACCAAAGUUGUCAGCAAUGAAGAAAUUCCACCUGGCCGUGUGGGACAAGAGAAAGGAGGUACUUACUGCCCAUGGAGUUCACGGGAAGAACAGGAGAGGAGGAACUCAUCUGCUCCACAUCUGUAGCUAAUGAGAAAGACAGACUUUAAGAAUACUCAUUUCUGCCAUAUAAAUUAUAUAUUUAUACUCUGAACAAGUUGAGUUUACAUUUAAACCAUCUUUUCCCUCAUCUUUAAAGUUUCGCCUUAUUUGAGAAAAACAAUAUGCCAGCAUUGGGUUGUUCCUUCCCCCCACCCCUACAAUUCUGACAUAACCAUCAGAGCUACUGAACCAUGACACACGAGUAUACUUUACCAUAACAUGUGUGUAAAGACAAGUAUGUAAAAUAACACUUGAAGUUCAUCAACUUAAAGGUUGGACCUUUCCAGACUUCAAAGUGUUCUUUAUACAGUCUGAAUAUUCUCUUGAGAGAUUUUGGUACAACAUUUAUUAUUUUCUUAUUUUUAAGAAAAAAUAAAAUAUGAAGAAGGACCUUUACUUGCCUCCUCUUCUAAACAUAGCUGCUUGCAACAAGCAGUUAUAUUCCAUAAUAUGUACAGCACAGAGAACACUCCUGAAAGACCAUUGUCAGUCACAAGCUUUCAAAGUGUCAAACUGUAAAUGGAUUGAAUCAUGCAGUAGUAAUAAUUUAACCUGUGUGCUGCUGUUUCAGUGUGUGUGGUAGCAGGAUUUUUUAGUUGGGUGGGUGGAUGGCUGAGGGUUCCUCUCCUACCUCCUCUCCCCAUCUGAGCCUUUGGAAAGGAGCUGCUAAUCCCUAAGCGAAGGCUGAGCCUUUCAGGUUCAAAACUGAAUCUGAAAAUGCACAUACUGAAAAGGCAGCUGGAAGACCAUCUCCAUGCCAUCCCCAGUUGCGGAUAAGCAGAUGUCACUGUGGUGCUCAGUUACGCUUGUUAAGUUAUCAGGUUUUACUCUGCCAUUACACACAUUUAAGAGCAUACACCCUUUUAAAUAGCAGCAGAAUUAUAGUGCGUUGCCUAACCAAGGAGAUGGACUUUUAAAGAAAACCACCAGGUAUUACAAAAAAAAUUGGUAAAACCAUGAACGCUGAGAACUCCUAGAACCUCCUCCCCCAGGGCUUGCAGGAGGUCCUCAACACCCAAACUUUCCCCCCUUCUAGUCUUUGAGAGGUGCAGAACAAAUCUGAAACUUCACAACUGCUGCAGCCCACCCAAACAGUUUCAGAUCCUCAGUGCAAGAAUGCCCAACUUAACCAUAGGCUUUGAGCUUACAGAAAAAAAGCCAUGCAAAAUGAACCACACACCAUGUCCAGAAGGGUCGUAACUGUCACAUGCAAGCCAAAUUUUGGCAGAGUAGUCAAGGAUUGCUACUGCAACACCAGUUUCCCACUCCUAUCUCCAGACACUUUCCAGCGCAUAUCUGUUUGAAGAAAGCUCAAAAAUUCUUUUAUAUGGAGAAAAGUAGAGACCAAAACUAGAAAAAAGAAUCAGGCAAGUUAUGAGCAGCUGGAAAUAGGUUCAGUGAAGUGUCAAAACUCUUAAGUACUACACCAGUUGAUGCCACUUUCUUUAUAACUCUCAUAAAUACAUGUGUUCAAAUACAGUUCAGCUUUUCACUGCUGCUGUAAUAGUUUAUUCUGUAUAUAUUCUGUAAAAAGGAAAGUUAAUUUUAUAAUACAGGUUCCUAGUUUUAAUAAAAAAGCAUGACCAACAGAAACACCAGAUCUCCAAUUUUUUUUAUCUUAGAAUUUAUCUUCUCCUCUGUCCCCUUAAGAGAUUUUCAUCUUCCCUACACACAUCUGUUACUGCCAGACCUGCUUUUCAAAGCAUUCAUUUCUCUAGUCAGAUAACAUGCAUCCUCAAAACUAUGACAUACAGCUGUCUUUGAAAACAACUAUCUUUUUAUCAGUUUGCAAAGAAUUCCUAAACUACACACUCCAUCAGCUUUAAAUUCUAUAUCAUAUUAACCUCUGAAAUGGGUCAGGACUAGAAAUGGCAGGAAGGGUCAAGAUGAUUAGAUCCCAGCAGGGUCUGGAGCCCCUUCAAAAGGACCCUUAUCAGAAAAGAGAUCCUGCUUCAAAAGUUUUCAUAAAGCAGGUGCCCUCUUCCAACACAUGAGCAGCAGCAGCACCACCAGUGGAGGUCUGUCUGGGAGACUGGGAUGCCCUGAGCUUACGUCCAACAUUGAGCUGGAGACUGGACUUGCUUCUUAUAGUAUGCCAGGAAGGACAGACCCGGUGACAGAUGGAUCUGACUAAAAAAUUCCAGACAGGGCCUAAACUCCAAAAAAAA